rnacentral:rRNA from 1 species
UACGUAGGGCGCAAGCGUUUGUCCGGAAUUAUGCGGCAGAAGACUCGUAGGCGGUCUGCCACGUCCGCUGUGAAAACCUAGGGCUUAACCCUGGGCUUGCAGUAGAUACGGGCAGACUAGAGGUAGGUAGGGGAGAAUGGAAUUCCCGGUGUAGCGGUGAAAUGCGCAGAUAUCGGGAGGAACACCGGUGGCGAAGGCGGUUCUCUGGGCCUUACCUGACGCUGAGGAGCGAAAGCGUGGGGAGCAAACAGGG